rnacentral:miRNA from 15 species
ACAUCCUUCUUUAUAUGCCCAUA